UUGUUGAUGGAAAGUGUCGCUGGCAAAUA
rnacentral:piRNA from 1 species